ensembl:lncRNA
UGGUUUUUAUUUGCUUUAUUAUUAAGCUGAUGAGGUUAUUUAGCCCGUUUUAUGCCCCAUUAAAUUCUGUGUUUGAAAUUCUGUGGAGCGCUUUGCAAACACGCGCUCCGCGCCCGCCAGCGCCGCCGCCGGGGUUUGCCUUGGAGCACCCGUCUUUGCUCCCUGGGUAUUCUCUGCUUCCCCAGCCUGCUGUGGCUGAGAGAGAUGAAUGCUCUGUCUGGUAUUGUCACCUCUUCUCACUUUUCUUUCUUUUUUUUUUUUUUUUUUUCCAUGCUCUCAUCACUACUUUGAGUGCUUCUUAUUUUCCUUGCCUCUGCAAGAAGCCAUAAAAUUCCCCAGCCCGUGUGUGGUGUGGUGUGCACUUACAAAUUACCACUGAAAAAUGAAUUGCCUUGACAAAAUCUAAUGUUUUGUGACACAGCACAAAUAUGCAUUUCAUUCUUGAAGAGAAGGAAAAGGAGCUCAUUGGAAAUAUUAAAUUAAGCAGUGUAACAGCUGAAAAUAAUUUGGUUUUCUGCUCUGUUGCUUGUGAUUUGGUACGGAGUUUGAGGUGGCAGGGCAGUGCCUGUUUAGAGUGUAAAGCACACAGAUGCCUUGGAUUUUAUUCCUUGCUUUGGAGCAACUUGUUUUCUGUGGUGCUGGCAGCUGGUGCAGCUCAGAACACAGGUUUUGGGGAAGGUCCCAGGGGCAGGGGGCUGAGGGGGAGCUCGGUGGCUGGAGUGUGGAAAUGCAGUCGGUCACAGGAGACCAACAUGAGGCUGAAGCUCUCGCUGCUUCUCUGGAGGUUCAGAACAAAAAUCCAUCCUCAAGAAGAACAAAGCAGAGCAGGGCUGCGUUUGGGGAUUCCUGCAAACAGCCCUGGAUCCCGCUGCAGCCAGGCACCAACAAGCUUUUAUUCUCCUCAGCCACCCAGCCCUUUCAUCACCUGCAGGGUGAUUCAUUCCCAAACCAGGGUGGCUCCUUGCAGACUCCUGGUGUGUCACUCCCUCUUGUCUUGGUGAUUCCGUUCCUUUUCCCUCUGUGCCACCUCACACGCUGCUGGGGCACUGCUGGAGCUGCCGGGCACAGAGCCCAGCAGGUGCCACAGGCUGAGGGCAGCUGGGCAGUGCUGGUGGCACCGUGCUUGGCACUGGGCACUGGGCACUGCUCACUCAGACCUUUCUUUCCCCACCAGGUGCACGGCCCCAAGGUGGCUGUCGGACCGAUGUGUGCCUCGGGGUGGAUUUCUCAUCAUGGUUGGAGUUGAUUCUUCAGGAUUAAUUAGUUAUUUAUCUUAAAAAGGCAGCUGGAAAAGAACCAGUGGGGCAGAGACCAUGAAAGCAUUUAGAAAGCAGGAGCCUGUGUCCCGGCAGGGCUGUGGGAUUGUGGCCGUGCCACAGCAAGGGAUGCUGUGGGGUUGGGGUGCUGCAGUUCCAGCCUGUCCCCGCUGGUGGCCAAGCCAAGGGCAGCUGCCAGCUGGGCCUUGGGGACCAGCCCGGCCCCAAGGGCUCCGUGAUCAGCUCUGCUUCCCUCCAGCAGGAGCCAAGCACAACCUGCCACUCAUGCCAAGGUAUCUUUGGCACAGGGAUGUGGGUAGAAAACCCACAGGAGUGUCAAAGGCAUGGACAGUCUCCAAAGUGAGAGCAGUGUUUGACGGGGGAGAAUAUGCUUUGGAAAAUUGACUUGAUCCUUGUUUGGAAGCAGCACUGAGAAGCACACGGAGCCCUCCACAGACACACACAUGCUGCCUUGAGGAUCUCUGCACAAAGCAAAGCACUGGAAACAUGUUGUCAUCCACCUCCUCCCUCUCAUUCCUGGCAACUGAGUAAAUAUCCAAGGAGCUGCUUAUAUCCGAGCGCAGGAAAGCAGCCACCCAGCCUGGAACCAUGGCAGGGACCCCUGCAGUGCUUGGUCCUGCUGGAGUCAGGGGGUUCCAUCUCCUGCUUCCCCCCCAGGGUAUGUUGGCAGUGCCCCUCUUGUCUGCUGGAGAGGAGCUGGACUGCAGGAGGGUGCCACGGGCGAGCUCCACACUUAUCUGGAUCAUUGACCACUUGCCAGGAGAGCUGGUUUCUCCUCUCCCAUAGCUAAAGCCAAGAGCCAAGGACUAGACAUGGCACAGCUCGUGUUGUUUUAGCAUCCCUCUUCUUAAAAAAAGUAAUUAAAAAAAAAAAAAAAAAAAAAAAGAAAAAAAG